rnacentral:rRNA from 1 species
CCUACGGGUGGCAGCAGUGAGGAAUAUUGGUCAAUGGCCGGAAGGCUGAACCAGCCAAGCCGCGUGAGGGAUGAAGGCGCAGAGCGUCGUAGACCUCUUUUGCCGGGGGACAAAAGUCCGGACGCGUCCGGUCCUGAGGGUACCCGGAGAAAAAGCAUCGGCUAACUCCGUUCCAGCAGCCGCGGUAAUACGGAGGAUGCGAGCGUUAUCCGGAUUUAUUGGGUUUAAAGGGUGCGCAGGCGGGCCGUUAAGCCGGCGGUGAAAUCGCGGGGCUCAACCCCGCCGAGCCGUCGGAACUGGGUGCCUUGAGUGGGCGAGAAGGAUGCGGAAUGCGCGGUGUAGCGGUGAAAUGCAUAGAUAUCGCGCAGAACCCCGAUUGCGAAGGCAGCGUGCCGUGCCGCCACUGACGCUGAGGCACGAAAGCGCGGGGAUCGAACAGGAUUAGAUACCCUAGUAGUC